rnacentral:rRNA from 1 species
UACGGAGGAUGCAAGCGUUAUCCGGAUUUAUUGGGUUUAAAGGGUGCGCAGGUUGUUUGAUAAGUCAGUGGUGAAAGUCUGUCGCUUAACGGUAGGAUUGCCAUUGAUACUGUUGGACUUGAAUAUGGAUGAGGUAGGCGGAAUGUGUAGUGUAGCGGUGAAAUGCAUAGAUAUCACGAGGAACUCCGAUUGCGCAGGCAGCUUACUAAACCAUAACUGACGCUCAGGCACGAAGGCGUGGGGAUCAAACAGGAUUA